ACUCAAGUGUCUGGAUGGAGUCCCAGUCAAUGUGACGAGAGUGAAAAACUACAUGGGUCAGCAGACAGUCAAGUCCUGCACUGCAGCCUCUGUCCCCUGCUUAAUGAGUGAUCCUGCAGUCUGUGCUGGCUAGUUAUCUGUCAGCUUGGCACAAGUUAAAGUCAUUUGGAAAGAGGGGACCUCAAAGGAGAAGAUGCCUCUAUCAGUGAAAUAUGGUCUGCAGUGUGGAGCUGGCAGCUGGGCAAAGGAGAAACCAGAAACUUGUCCGAGGCCAGUGGUGUCCUGGAACAGCUGGAGAAGUGUGGCGUAAGUAGGCGGAUGCAUCUAACUUCACCUGCCUGCGGAUGGAACGCGUGGAGCUUCUCAGCUGAAAAAGUGCCGGGGCACAGAGGGCUUGCGGCUCAAGAGUCAGUGGUCACUGCACCCUGGCCGCUCCUGUGGCUGUGAACCGAUCGGAGCAAGAUACAGCCAUUACCUGGUUACUUCUGGGGGCCGGAGGGUAGGCACAGGACACAGAUUUCAUUUUGAAACAUUUUACGCCCAAAUUGAACCUUGAGGCCCAUCAAACCGUGAGUGCUUGUGUCUACACGUGUGUGUGUAUAUAUACACUUGAUAGUAGCCAAAAGGCCUAGGACGUGGCAAAGAUAUUGAGAUUUCUUUAGGCUCCUCGCAGAGAUGUUUGUUGUUGUUUUAUAUUGUUUGGCUUUGUUUUGAGAAAAGGUCUCCCUAUAUAUUCCUGGAAAGCCUGGAUGGAUGCUAUGUAGCCUCAUCUGACCUCAGACUCACAAAGCUCCUCCUGCCUUUGCCUCCCAAGUGUGAGGAUUAAAGGGGUGCACCAACCACCACAGCUCUUAGUUUAUAAACAGCAGACCUAACCUGUCAUUCAACACCCUCUACAACCAGCUGUAACCUCCUCCCACCUGCCCACGUACCCUGGGCCUGAGGCUGUAGCCACAUGUGCUGGUCACCACCCAACCCACCUUCCCUGUCCCUACAGCCUUUCCUUUAACUCUGCUUUUGUGGAAACUUCCACCAGGAGUUCUCAUCUUCAGGGAUCUCUUAGGUGUCCCUUUCCCCCAUUCCUCAUUGGAAUUAUCUCCCUCACACUUCUAGGACAUCUACUCUAUGUGCAGGUGAGGUCAGCUGUGAAAAUUCUAUGGGUAUUGCCUCCCUGCUUCCUGUGAGUUCUUCAACCCCAUCCCAUUCACAGCCUUCCAUUCUUGAUGUUUCUAUGUACGUAUGUAUGUGUGUGUGUGGUGUGUGCAGUAUGUAUAGUGUGUGGGUGUUGAUGCACACUUGUGUAGAGGCCAGAGGAAGACUUCAAGUGCCCUGCUCUGUUGCUCUCCAUCUUGUCCCCUUGAUAUGCCGCUGAACCUGGAAUUAGGCCUUCAAGCCACAUUAAUCCUCCCGACUAGCUCCUAGGAGUGCAGUACUGUGAUAAUGCUUGCCUUUUCACGUGGGUCCUGGAGAUUCGAACUCAAGUCCUCAUGCUUGAGCAGCAAAGACUCUUCUACACUGGGCCAUCUCUCUGGACCCUCCUUCCACCUCUCUUGUCACUUCUUGGUCUGACAUGGACAGAGCACCCGCUAUCUGUCAGCUGCUGCUCUUUGCCCUAGAACUAGGGCAAGGAGCCACGGCUGGAAGUCCCCUGGCCAGUGAGAGUUUACAGUUUAAUGAAGACAAAGUGGAUACUGUGGCAGAGAGCACAAUUUGUCAGCCAGUGGAAAAGGAAGGCCACAGCUGCAUUUCCGCCUCCCCCUGGAAAGCGGGGAUGAGCCUGAACCAGGGCUAGAGGUUCAGAGGUGACUUUUGAGUGGAGGUGGUAUCUUAGGAAUGGCCUGAAUGGUGUAAGGAGAGUCAGCAAUUGAGAUAAGAGCGCUCCUGAUGGAGACAGCAAGAUGGAGCAGUUCCUGUGCCCUGUCAGAGCACAAAAAAUGGAUACUGGAUCCCAAAGGACAGGGGAGGGGGCGAUAGCUCAGGAAGGAAUGUGUGUGAGACCUUGUAUUUCCCAGGAGUGGCCAGCAUGGCCUCUGCUCGGGUCACUGAGCUGAGCUCUAACCAGCAGUGCGUUUGGAAGCCCCACCCAGUGAGUUUUGCUUCUGCAGAAGGCAGCUCUAGACUUCAGAGGGAAUUCUUGAUCUGGACCUCGUCAGUGUGACCUUAGGAGCCACUUGGUCUACUUAGUCUACGUCUCCAUCCAAUGGGUAGGGUAAUAACAGCCACCAUGCCAUGCUGGAGCAUUGGGAGGUGUGAGGACUAUAUAUGAUAUGAUCCUUUAAAAAUAAUUUGGAUGUGUGUGCAAGUGUUUGUGUAUGUUAUGUAUGUAUGGGUACCUAUAGAGGCUAGAAGAGAUGAUCACGUCCCCUGGAACUGGAGUUACAGGUUGUUGUGACCUGCCUGACGUGGUACUGAGAACAGAACUCAGGUUCUCUGGAAGAGCACCAGCAAGAACUCUUAACCGCUGAGCCAUCUCAUUAGCCUAUAUUAUUACACUCUCAACCACAAAUAUGAUGCCGGACUGAGCUUUUUGCUCCCAGGACAAACUGUCACGCUUUGGGGAGAAUAAGGAAAAUCCCACGUGUUCUUACUUUGGAGUUGUUUUCAGCCCUCAGUUGGACGCCUGAUGCAGACCCUGCAGAUAUGAGAGGCCAGCUCAACCGUCUGCUAGCCCCGUAAAUGUCAGCUGCUGUUGCCCCUCUGAAGCCUUAGGGACCAACUGGUGGAGAGACUGGGGGCAGAGUCGGACUCUCCAGCCCUGGGAAGUACUUGACUCAAGGAUAUUUACAGGAGGGCUGUCUCUGUCUCCUGGGCCUGCUCCAGACAGCUUGAUACUUUGGCCCUUGUUCACUGGGAGACACUCAGUCUGAGCCUCCUGCUCCACUGCUGGGCACCUCCCUCUCUUGCCCAACCGCCCCGGCGUGGUUUUGUCUCAUUUCCGUGGUUGAAUGAUUUCGAGGUUGAGGGGCUUUUCUUGGGCAAUAGUGGUGCUGUCUCUGUCCCUCUUCCUCUGGGCCUCUCCCUCCUGAGCUUCUGCCUUCCAGAAUCAUGAAAGUCAUGAAAGUCACUCUCCGAUUUAGUCAAGAUAACUGUCAAGAUAAUUUAGGCCUCUCCAGUUUGUAAGCUGUGGUCCCACAAAUCUUCCUGGAUCAUCAAAUCAAGUGCAUUAGCUUGGUGAAGUUAACACGUUGUUUCUUUCCCCCUUCCUCCUCCCCUCUCUCUCUUCUUCCUUUCUUUUCUUGUUUGAAACAGAAUCUCAUGUAGCCCAGGCUAGCCUUAAACUUGCUAUGUAGCCAAGGCUGGCCUUCACCUCUUGAUCCAUCUGCCUCCACCUCUCAAAUACUAGGAUUAGAAGUAUAUUUGGCACUAUACCUGGCUCACACCAUUCCUUUAAUAGAUGAAGAAUGCUAAGACCCAGAGAAAUCAAGUGAUUAGGUCAUACAGUGGCCUUUAAAAAAAGAAAAAAGAAAAAAGAAGAAAAGAAAGAAAUGAAAAACAAAAUUCAUGUAAAAA